UUCACUGUGAUCAAGAAGAAGCUCGUUAAAAAGAUGGGACAAAACAAACUCAUCAUUAACUGGACUGUAUGAAAGAUGAUAACAAUAGUUACACAACUCAGAUGCAUGUAUAGCCCCAAGUUACACUAUUCAGUUGCCUCGGUAAAUCAUAGUUACACAUUAAGUUGGAUGACACUGUAAAAGAACCCAAUCAACUGUUGAUAUCAGAGAAAGAUAUCCCUCAGGAAACCUUGGAGAAAGGGAAUACAAAAUCCUGAAUAUAUUGGAGUUUGAUAACAAAAGAAAGCUAAUUGUGCAAGAUGAGGAUAUGAAAAUUCUUCUUUUGUGAAAAGGUGAAGGCAGCUGUUGUGAGGAAGGAGAUUGGAGAUGAGACUGAUUGAGAGACAUGACGUGGCAAUGGAAUUUCUAGUUUUUCUAUUCAUCUUAGUAUUUACUCUCCGAAUGUUGUGAAUUUGACCCUGAUGGAUCUUCCUGGAUUGACGAAAGUUGCCAUUGAUGGUCAAUCUGAUAGCAUCGUUGCGGACAUUGAGAACAUGGUUCGCUUAUUAUUUAUUGAAAAGAUACACAAGCAUUUUGGAAUGGAGGAAGAUAAGAAGGGAAGAGAACAUUUUUAUUUUAUUAGAAGAUCUCGUUGCUUAUUUCUUGGAUUUCGUUAUACAUAUUUCGUGUUUUAGCUCGUUUAUUGUGUUCCAAAACAAUUGAUAAACAAAGAAUUUUUUGUAAAUGAAAUUAUUGUUUUGAUAACAACUGAAUACAGAUGUGUAACUUAUGGAUAAUUUUGCUUCUAUAGAUUUUUUUUCAUCCAACCUAACUCGUGUAUAUUUAUUUUGUUGCAGAUACACAAGCAUUUUGGAAUGGAGGAAGAUAAGAAGGGAAGAGAACAUUUUUAUUUUAUUAGAAGAUCUCGUUGCUUAUUUCUUGGAUUUCGUUAUACAUAUUUCGUGUUUUAGCUCGUUUAUUGUGUUCCAAAACAAUUGAUAAACAAAGAAUUUUUUGUAAAUGAAAUUAUUGUUUUGAUAACAACUGAAUACAGAUGUGUAACUUAUGGAUAAUUUUGCUUCUAUAGAUUUUUUUUCAUCCAACCUAACUCGUGUAUAUUUAUUUUGUUGCAGAUACACAAGCAUUUUGGAAUGGAGGAAGAUAAGAAGGGAAGAGAACAUUUUUAUUUUAUUAGAAGAUCUCGUUGCUUAUUUCUUGGAUUUCGUUAUACGUAUUUCGUGUUUUAGCUCGUUUAUUGUGUUCCAAAACAAUUGAUAAACAAAGAAUUUUUUGUAAAUGAAAUUAUUGUUUUGA